UGGCAUAGCUCAGUCGGCAGAGCAUGAGACUCUUAUCCUCGAGGUUGUGGGUUCAAGCCUCACAUUGGGCAAAA